UCCCGGUCGCCUCCCCCCUUCACCCCCUCUGCUGCGCGGCGUGGUCGGCUGGGCGAUUUGGGGGCGGGGAGCUCGGGCCGUUGCGACUGGGGUUGGGUUUGGUUCGAUUUUGUGGUCGUGCGUGGGGUUUGGUUUCGGAUAAUUCGGGCCGAUGUGGUGGGGGUUGUGCUAGGUAAUUCGGCGGUGGUGGUUGGCGCUCUUCGAGGGCUGUGAUUCUUUGCAAUGGCAUCUGGAACUGAUGAGACAGCUAAGAUGGAGAGUUUGACAUCACCUGCAGCCUUUGUGGAGGGUGGCAUUCAGGAUGCAUGUGAUGAUGCGUGCAGCAUUUGCCUUGAGGCUUUCUGUGAGAGUGACCCUUCUGCAUUGACCGGUUGCAAACAUGAGUUCCAUCUCCAAUGCAUUCUGGAAUGGUGUCAGAGAAGUUCACAGUGUCCAAUGUGUUGGCAGCCUAUUAGUAUGAAGGAUCCUACCAGCCAAGAGCUUUUUGAGGCAGUAGAGCGCGAGAGGAAUAUUAGAACCAAUCAAACUCGAAAUACAACUAUAUUUCACCAUCCUGCUCUUGGGGAUUUUGAGUUGCAGCACUUACCUGUUGUUGGUAAUGAUGCUGAACUUGAAGAGCGCAUACUACAGCAUCUAGCUGCUGCUGCUGCAAUGGGAAGGGCCCACCACCUUGGAAGAAGAGAGGGGCACAGGGGCCGAUCAGGCUCUCGUCCACAGUUCCUGGUUUUCUCUGCACAUCCAAACACACCUUCUGCUGACACAGUAUCUUCAUCUUCUGCUCAUGUGGAGGGAGAUAACGAUUCAAGUCCUGUGACCCCUAGAGCUAGUGAGUCAUCUCCACGUGCUUUUCGCGGUGGGGAAGCAGGUAACCAAAGUCCGGGGAUGCUUACCUAUGACGCUGAACAAGAUGCUGUCGUUUCUUCCGGAAAUAGUACUCCUGUAUCCAGUCCUAGGUUUUUUAACAGGAGACAUUCCACUGGACAAACUCCAGACAGGGCUGGACCAUCGGAUAUUCAGUCUUUCUCAGACUCUCUAAAGUCCCGCUUAAAUGCUGUUUCUAUGAAGUACAAAGAAUCUAUUACAAAAAGCACUCGAGGGUGGAAGGAGAGACUCUUUUCACGUAACUCAUCCGUGGCGGAUCUUGGUUCUGAAGUGAGAAGAGAAGUUAAUGCUGGAAUUGCAUCUGUAUCACGGAUGAUGGAGCGUUUGGAAACUAGAGGUGGUAGCAGAACAGGUGAUAGCCCAACAUCAUCCACUUCUGAAGUUCGUCCUGCUACAGAAUCAAGCGAAGAGAGGGUUACUGAGAGCAACUCUACCACUACUGUGACCACCACUACUACAAGUGCUUCCAACUCUUCCACCCCUUGUGUCACGACGUCUGGUUCAAAUUAGGACAUGUAAGAGUUCCAGAAAGAAGGCCUACACAUGCCCGUUCUUCAUCUUCGAAGGUUGUAUCGUAAGGCGACACAGUUGAAACAUGAAAUACCAUGAUGCUGUCAUCUCAACCAUUAAUGACUGCCAGAAGAUCGGAAUGAUGAUUCGAUAUAUUUGUUCGAUAAAAGGGUGGCCGGGCCUAGGAAAAGUCGAUUUGAUCUUCAGUUUCAUCCUUGUAAAAAUUUCCCGAAUACAGAUGUUUACUAGUAUAAAUGAUUAUGUCAACUUGAUAGCAUGUGAAUCGCGAUAAAUAUGAUUGGAACAGCAGAGUUUCCUGCUGUUAUACA